rnacentral:rRNA from 1 species
UACAGAGGGUGCGAGCGUUAAUCGGAAUUACUGGGCGUAAAGCGUGCGCAGGCGGUUUUGUAAGCCAGAUGUGAAAUCCCCGGGCUUAACCUGGGAAUGGCAUUUGGGACUGCAAGGCUGGAGUGCGGCAGAGGAGACUGGAAUUCCUGGUGUAGCAGUGAAAUGCGUAGAGUAUCAGGAGGAACACCGAUGGCGAAGGCAGGUCUCUGGGCUGACACUGACGCUCAUGCACGAAAGCGUGGGGAGC